rnacentral:rRNA from 1 species
GCAAGUCGAACGCCCCGCAAGGGGAGUGGCAGACGGGUGAGUAACGCGUGGGAACAUACCCUUUCCUGCGGAAUAGCUCCGGGAAACUGGAAUUAAUACCGCAUACGCCCUACGGGGGAAAGAUUUAUCGGGGAAGGAUUGGCCCGCGUUGGAUUAGCUAGUUGGUGGGGUAAAGGCCUACCAAGGCGACGAUCCAUAGCUGGUCUGAGAGGAUGAUCAGCCACAUUGGGACUGAGACACGGCCCAA